rnacentral:rRNA from 1 species
GAUGAACGCUGGCGGCGUGCCUAAUACAUGCAAGUCGAGCGAACAGAUGAGGAGCUUGCUCCUCUGACGUUAGCGGCGGACGGGUGAGUAACACGUGGAUAACCUACCUAUAAGACUGGGAUAACUUCGGGAAACCGGAGCUAAUACCGGAUAAUAUAUUGAACCGCAUGGUUCAAUAGUGAAAGACGGUUUUGCUGUCAAUUAUAGAUGGAUCCGCGUCGCAUUAGCUCGUUGGUAAGGUAACGGCUUACCAAGGCAACGAUGCGUAGCCGACCUGAGAGGGUGAUCGGCCACACUGGAACUGAGACACGGUCCAGACUCCUACGGGAGGCAGCAGUAGGGAAUCUUCCGCAAUGGGCGAAAGCCUGACGGAGCAACGCCGCGUGAGUGAUGAAGGUCUUCGGAUCGUAAAACUCUGUUAUUAGGGAAGAACAAAUGUGUAAGUAACUAUGCACGUCUUGACGGUACCUAAUCAGAAAGCCACGGCUAACUACGUG